ensembl:lncRNA
UGUGUAACCUGUUGGAAGAAUGAAGUGGGUGUGUCACUCACCAAUUGGUCUGAAGGAGGUUGAGACAGGACCUCGGCACCUGGUGUCUGCAACAAAAGACAACAAUAUAACGUCAGAAACAUUCUCUAGUAUAAAUCCCGACUAUUUAAUUAACUACAGAUCAUAUUUGUAUCAGUGAAUAUUAUUACAGAAGGAUCUGACUUCCUUAUACCAGAUUCUAUAGAAACUUAACACUGUACGGUUCUGCUACCCAACGAUAUGAGGACAGUGUAACACACACUAGAGUUGUUGGUCCUACCACAUGAGGAAGGCAACUGAAACACACUCCUGUCCUUCACAGCUUAAAACAAUAUGAGGACAGUGUAACACACACUACAAUCACUGGUCCUACCAUAUGAGGACUUCUACUUUCCUGUUGGAGGUUGAGACACGACAGAGGGACAGCAGGGUAGUAGCUUGGACAAAUGAGUCUAUUGACACAACAGGGAAGUGAGAUUAAUGAACUGAACGCAACAGACUCUUUCAAAAUAAAACAGGAAACAUGGCAUGAAAAUACAAACGUGGUAAUAUACAGCCCUAACAUAAACUCCUUAAAACGAUAUUAAUAACGUUAAGCCAAACUCAACUAACCCGCCAUUAAACAUAAGAAACUCAAAAACCUUAGAAUAACAUCAGAAACGCUGGGCCAGAGAACCAGACCAUGAGCAAAUAACUAUAAUAUUAUUGAUUUGUGCUGAAUAAGAAAACAUUAAUAUUAUCAUUUAAAUCCCCCCAAGCAUAUCUUGUGUUGAAAAAAAAAAAGUGUGUUGCAGUUAGCUACACUGAGCUUAGACUGACUGUCUCUGCAGUUGAAGAUGCAGAGCACAUGCAAGGCCGCAGGUCCCUUUAACUCCGGUGGGAAUUUAAAAACAGUUAAAUUUAACUUCUAAUAUCUAUUGUUAAAGAUAAAUCUUAAGUAAUUUUUUAGCAUUUAUCAUCAUUCACCACUUUCAAUUUGUUCAAAUCGGUUGUGUAUUGUUUUAAUUCCGUUUAACUAACCUUAAUUAGCUUGUUAAACAUACAACUUUACCUCGCGGAGCUUGCGUCGACGCAUGGAUAUCAAAGGUAAAUACAUACCUCAAGAUAAAUCUCUCCUGAGUGCUGAAGGUCCCGGAUGUGCCGUUCAUGCAGAGCUCCGGCGAGUUUGUAUCUUGCCGUGACCAGCAGCUCUUUGGUUGACGCUUUCGAACAAUCAGAUGCAUCUUUACUCACUUGUUGACCAAUCAGAGACGUCGUUCUAUGCUCCACUGACGAAAUGCUGCAUCCUCUCACCAGCCACCGGUCUCUCCUCGUCCAUUUAACAACAAAAACACAGCAACACGUGCUGGAUUUGAGGUAGGAACACUUGAGAACUGUCACAAUGUUUUGCAAACUGUUGUUACAGUUAAUUUCGUUCCGUUAAUUUGUUUGGUUCCUAUUCUGAAGUAACACUUAAUACACAUGGGGUUAGCUUGCUGGUCUAGUUUAAGUUAGCAUGGGCAUGCUGUUCACUGAUAGAGUAAGGCUAAAAUUGUCCUGAUAUUGUCAGUGUGUUAUCAUAAACAUGCAGCACCCCUAGACCCCCAAGUUAAAAUACAGAUAAUAGAUAAGCAAUUUAAGAAAAUAAGUAUAAUGUGUAUAAUAAAUGAUUUUACUGUCACUUUCCUGGGUCUGUUGACCCAGCGUUUUAAGUUUUAGUUUGUUUAGAUGUCGAUGUUUAUUUAUAAGUUCUUUAGGUUUGCUAAGUUCAUUUGUUUAUUAGAUUACCCUUGUGAUGUCUGUUUUAUUGGGAAAGUCUUUGUCCUAUAUGCAGUGAGUCUAGUUUUGUUUCCCCUUGUCCCAGCUGUUCCUCAUCCCCUCAUUAUCUCUCUGUGUACUUGCAGUGGCUUGCAAAAGUAUUCGUCCCUCUUUUCCACAUUUUGUCACAUUACUGCCACA